GACGAACGCUGGCGGCGUGCUUAACACAUGCAAGUCGAACGGAAAGGCCCUGCUUUUGUGGGGUGCUCGAGUGGCGAACGGGUGAGUAACACGUGAGUAACCUGCCCUUGACUUUGGGAUAACUUCAGGAAACUGGGGCUAAUACCGGAUAGGAGCUCCUGCUGCAUGGUGGGGGUUGGAAAGUUUCGGCGGUUGGGGAUGGACUCGCGGCUUAUCAGCUUGUUGGUGGGGUAGUGGCUUACCAAGGCUUUGACGGGUAGCCGGCCUGAGAGGGUGACCGGCCACAUUGGGACUGAGAUACGGCCCAGACUCCUACGGGAGGCAGCAGUGGGGAAUAUUGCACAAUGGGCGGAAGCCUUAUGCAGCAACGCCGCGUGCGGGAUGACGGCCUUCGGGUUGUAAACCUCUUUCGCCUGUGACGAAGCGUGAGUGACGGUAAUGGGUAAAGAAGCACCGGCUAACUACGUG
rnacentral:rRNA from 1 species